rnacentral:lncRNA from 1 species
ACAUUUUACUGAUAAAGAAAUCAAGAUACAGAGAAGCUACUUCACUUCAGAUUUUAUAGGUAGGAAGUUUUGAAAAGAAGUUGGUAUUUAAACUCAGGCAUGAAGGUUCCUGAGACAAAAAGUGUUCACUGAAUGACCCCAUGUAGUUCAUGGUAGAAUAGGAUUAGAUCCCUGGAUGUUUCCUUCCCUGAGAGAUAAGGACAUCUGCUGAUAAGGACAAAAGAGCUGAGAAAUUUGGGGGAACUUAGAAAGUAGGGACAUGUACAUGUAAUUAAUUCUUGGGGCAGAAUAAAAAUAUCUUUUAUAGCAUUCUAGGUUAGAUUUUAUCCAUCCAUCCAUCCAUCCAUCCAUCCAUCCAUCCAUCCAUCCAUCCAUCCAUUCAUCCAUGCAUUUCAUGUGUGUAUGCACAUUUCAUGUGUACAUGCAUGUUUGGGUAGAUGUGUACGCACACAGAUGCUAGAGCUCAGCCUCCACUGUUGUUCCUCAGGGACCAUCUAUCUUGGUUGUUUUUGAAACAGGGCCUUUCAUUGGCCUAAAGAUUGCUAGCGUGGCUAGGCUGCCUGGUCAGUGAGCCUCAGGGAGCCACAUUUUCUGCCUUCUCAGCUCUGGGAUUUCUGAUUUCUCAGCUCUGUGUCUGUAGCCUUUUUUAUGUGGAGUCUAGAUACCAAUCAAGCUUGCUCACAUCCAGUAUAGUGAGCGGCAAACACUGUGCUGACUUAGCUAUCCUCAGAGGCCCUGUUUUUCAUUUUGCCAAAGAAAUGUUGCAUAUAAUAAGCAGUGAUCUUCAUCUUUGUUCUCAGUAUUGAACCAGAAGACAGGAGGAAACUUUCUAGUUUUAGUAACUGAUCAGAAAAGACUUUCUGAAGAGACUCACCUUGGUGCAGGAACAAGCCUUUGUCAAGUCCACCCUAAGAUUCAGGGUGUAUGGUCUAUUUGUGUCUGAACAGAGAGGAAAUUCUGUUCAUUGCUGCAGAAGGCACAGGAGUACUUUGAGAGGAGGAUUGUAGAGCCACAAAGAGAACUAAUCAGCUGGGUUAGGUUAUGCUCUGUAUAAUCAGCCCCCAGAUUGUCAUUGGACAGUCAUCAAUAAAUUUAGAACAAACAGAUUUUCUUUGAAAUAGCAUCUCACACAUCCCAGGCUGGCCUUGAGCUUGCUAUGUAGACAAGAGUGCCCUUGAAUGCCUGAUCCUCCAGCCUCCAUGUCUCAAGUAUUGAGGUUAUAGGCAUGUAUUCAAGCAUGCCAAGUUUGUGUGGUACUUGGAAUUGAACCCAGGGCCUUGUGCAUGUUAUGUGAGCAUCCAACCAAUCAAUUGAGCCACAUUCUCAAUCUACAAAUAGAAAGCCGAGAAAGGACUGUUUCUUGGGCCCUGUGGUAAAGUGAGAGUAUCACAGUAGAUAAUAUGAGCCAUAACAGCAGGAAAAGCCAAAGAUCUUGAUGACCAUUUGAGACUUUGCUGCACCCCAGAAUCCGGAGUUCAAAGCAUCAUCACUGAAAUUGUGAGGUUUUCAGAGAGGUGAAUGUCUAUCAUUGGUAACAUCUCUAAGAGGAUGUUGUGAUGAUUCUGAGUAGUAGUGAAGAAAGAAUAAAAAGACAUUUCUUGAGGGCUAACCCUCUGUAAGGCAUCCGUGGGUCAGACAUCCUUCAGGGCUGACAGGGGGAACCUCCAUUUUUAAUGAUUAAUUUAUUGUUUUAUAUACGCAUUGGAGUGUUGCUUGCAUGCAUGUCUGUGUGAAGGUGUUGGAUACCCUAGAACUGGGGUUACAGAUAGCUGUGAGCUGUCAUGUGGGUGCUGGGGAAAGAAGCUGGUUCCUCUGGAAGCACAGCCAGCCCUCUUGACCACUGAGCCAUCUCUCCAACCAUGACAGGGACAAUUUUAAAGCUGACCUGUAGGACUGCUCUUCUCAUGGACUCUGCUUGGAAACCUCUCUCUCUUCUACCGCCUGUUCAUCAGUUCCUGCAGGAAUCAACCCGGUCUAUUCCUCCAACAACAGAACCUCAGUGUAGGCAGUUUCUUUUCCUUACUUUGCCUGGUCAAAACUUUCUAGUCACAAAAGCUGUAGGGUGUUUUUAAGAGAAAUCUGAACUCAGACUUGUGAGGAAGUCUUUGUUCUGGAACUUUCUUGCUGUUGGACUAGGACAAAGCCCUUAUAUCUUAAGAGUAGCUCUCAUUUUGUUUUUACGUCUUUGAAAUGGUCUUCAUGUCCCUGUCACUGUAUACAUGACCAGACAUAAGGAUAAGUAGAGUUACUAUCUAUGUGUAGCUUUAGCAGCCCAGUAUGGCACUUGAAAGUCUAUAGUUUUUGAGUGAACAUGAAUCUCUCCAUGCUGUUCCCGGGAAGCUUAGCUGUGUCAUGAAUAUGUCAUUGAAUAGGUUUUAGAAAAAGAUAAUUCGCCUGCUUGGAAGAAACCUCAUCACACCUAGCUAUCACCUUAGAAAUAAAUUUAGUUAAAUC